rnacentral:lncRNA from 1 species
GUCUUCUACAGAGUAAGAAGAUUGUUUCCAGCUGUGGAGCGGAGAAAACUUUCAGCUCAUUUUUUACAGCUCAUUUCUGACCUUUGUGUUGUGCUGGGCCUUUUUACCCCUCUGCCAGUUAUUGUCCUCAGUGUCACUUGAUUUUACCGCAUGGUUAAUGGCCUCAUUUUGGGAAAUUAUGUGGCAAUUUUGUACUGGAGUGCACAUUUUAUGUGUUACACACAUUCCAGAGCUGCAAAGAUAUAAUUUCACAAAGUCCCAAAACAUGUUAAAACCAUUAAUCUAGGAUUAACGGGUGAAGGGUGAGAGAAAAAGGAAUCAUUUAGUGAAGACUCUUUAAUCUCUUAUGUUCUGUGAUUAAACCCUAGAGAGAUGUUAGGAAGAAGAACCUGGACUGUUGUCUCUCAGCUUUUUGCCUCUGGAAUGAACAGCAUGGAACAAGAACCUGCCCAGAAAAUGGAUUAAUGUGUUAAAGGAUACAGAGGAAAACAGAGUUAACUCCAAAUUUCUGGGCUGAACUUUACCUGCAUGAAGGACAAUUGAUCACACAACUUUUGCCAGGCAGGACUGCACAAAGAUUUCUCCAACAAGCACAAGUUCACAGCAGGAAAGACAGAAGCUGCAUGGAAGCUCUGAUCAACACCCAAAAUUGGCAAAUCUGCCAAAAAGACAGUCCAGCCUUCAGUUCUGACCUGACAAAAACCCUCCCCACUGCAGACUGCUCUGCUGAUAAGUCUGCAAUGAAGGUCACAGUGAUGUGGGAGCUCAGCUACAGCUGCUUCGUGGGCCAGCACUGUCCAACAAGAGCACCAGGCUGGUCAGAGAUUUCC